UCGUACAACUGAGGCACGAGGGCUGUCGCUGACUUUUUUGUCGUGCACGCCCGAGUGCUCUCAAACAUCCAUCUCACCCCUAUGUGCACCACCGCGUGGGUCCCCUUUCGGCUCGUCCGGAGGGGGGCUCGCGUUUUCACACAAACUUGAUACAGUGUAGAAUGUCCUUCUUUGCGAUAACACGCAAUUAAUA
rnacentral:misc_RNA from 1 species